UACGUAGGUGGCGAGCGUUGUCCGGAUUUACUGGGCGUAAAGGGCGCGUAGGCGGCUUGGCAAGUGGAUGGUGAAAUCCCUCGGCUUAACCGAGGAACUGCCAUCCAGACUGCUUUGCUUGAGGCCGGGAGAGGUGAGUGGAAUUCCCAGUGUAGCGGUGAAAUGCGUAGAUAUUGGGAGGAACACCAGUGGCGAAGGCGGCUCACUGGACCGGUUCUGACGCUGAGGCGCGAAAGCGUGGGGAGCAAACGGG
rnacentral:rRNA from 1 species